rnacentral:rRNA from 1 species
AACAGGAUUAGAUACCCUGGUAGUCCACGCCGUAAACGAUGUCGACUUGAAGGCUGUUCCCUUGAGGAGUGGCUUCCGGAGCUAACGCGUUAAGUCGACCGCCUGGGGAGUACGGCCGCAAGGUUAAAACUCAAAUGAAUUGACGGGGGCCCGCACAAGCGGUGGAGCAUGUGGUUUAAUUCGAUGCAACGCGAAGAACCUUACCUACUCUUGACAUCCAGAGAACUUAGCAGAGAUGCUUUGGUGCCUUCGGGAACUCUGAGACAGGUGCUGCAUGGCUGUCGUCAGCUCGUGUUGUGAAACGUUGGGUUAAGUCCCGCAACGAGCGCAACCCUUAUCCUUUGUUGCCAGCGGUCCGGCCGGGAACUCAAAGGAGACUGCCAGUGAUAAACUGGAGGAAGGUGGGGAUGACGUCAAGUCAUCAUGGCCCUUACGAGUAGGGCUACACACGUGCUACAAUGGCGCAUACAAAGAGAAGCGACCUCGCGAGAGCAAGCGGACCUCAUAAAGUGCGUCGUAGUCCGGAUUGGAGUCUGCAACUCGACUCCAUGAAGUCGGAAUCGCUAGUAAUCGUAGAUCAGAAUGCUACGGUGAAUACGUUCCCGGGCCUUGUACACACCGCCCGUCACACCAUGGGAGUGGGUUGCAAAAGAAGUAGGUAGCUUAACCUUCGGGAGGGCGCUUACCACUUUGUGAUUCAUGACUGGGGUGAAGUCGUAACAAGGUAACC